AUUGAACGCUGGCGGCAGGCCUAACACAUGCAAGUCGAGCGGAUGAAAGGAGCUUGCUCCUGGAUUCAGCGGCGGACGGGUGAGUAAUGCCUAGGAAUCUGCCUGGUAGUGGGGGACAACGUUUCGAAAGGAACGCUAAUACCGCAUACGUCCUACGGGAGAAAGCAGGGGACCUUCGGGCCUUGCGCUAUCAGAUGAGCCUAGGUCGGAUUAGCUAGUUGGUGAGGUAAUGGCUCACCAAGGCGACGAUCCGUAACUGGUCUGAGAGGAUGAUCAGUCACACUGGAACUGAGACACGGUCCAGACUCCUACGGGAGGCAGCAGUGGGGAAUAUUGGACAAUGGGCGAAAGCCUGAUCCAGCCAUGCCGCGUGUGUGAAGAAGGUCUUCGGAUUGUAAAGCACUUUAAGUUGGGAGGAAGGGUUGUAGAUUAAUACUCUGCAAUUUUGACGUUACCGACAGAAUAAGCACCGGCUAACUCUGUGCCAGCCGCCGCCGUAAAAC
rnacentral:rRNA from 1 species